GUGCUAAGUAGUCACAGGAGGAGCAAACUGCUGAAUGUGAAAGUGGUCCUUGUGCCGUGGCCUUGUGCGGGUGCCAACAUGGACUUGGGUACGGGUGCAGAAUGUGAAACGUUUUCUUCAGAGCUUACAUGCGAUAUCCCGGCAGCCAGUUUGCAGAUCUGAAGCAGUCAGGUAUGGUUAUCACAACCAGAAUCCUCCCAGGAGUGGACAUCCUAACAAAUUCAUCCCAAAGUCAGGCUGUGCAAUACUAAGUAACUGGAAAAAAAAUCAAACAAACAAAAUAAAGACUUACAUUUCAGUUCAGGAACGCACAAGUAGAAAAAAACUGAACACAUAUGAUGUGUUGCCAGGAAAAAGUCUCUUUCUAAAAACAACAUCGCUUAUCUGAACAACAAAUCAAAAGACUUCUGGAAUAAUGUCCUUUGGACAGACAGUAAUAAUGCACAGUGCCACGUUUGGAGAAAACCAAACACAGCGUAUUAGCACAAACACCUCAUGCCAACUGUCAAGCUUUAUAGCGGAGGCACUGACUGGAGCAUGAACUCCUCUGUAUACAAAAGUAUGCUACAGUCAAAUGCGAGGCCAUCUGUCCAACAGCUAAAGCUUGGCUGAAACCGGGUCAUGCAACAGGACAAUGAUUACAAGCACAGCAGCAAAUCUACAAAAGAAUGGCUGAUAAUAAAGGAAUCAAGGUGUUGCAGUGGCCCAUUCAAAGUCCAAGUCUCAACCUGAUUGAAAUGUGGGGUAAAAGAGUUGUAUUUAAAUAAUGCUUGCAAACCUCAAUGAACUAGCAUAUGAAUAUAAACCUGCUGAAGUUGUACAGAAAACUGUUUCUUACAUUUAUUACUGCCAAAGGUGGUUCUAUGUUACUGAAACAGAGGGUUGUACUUUGUUUUUCACAAGGCUGUAAGUGAAGUGACCAUUAAAAAAACCUAUAUUGGUUUAUGUACCUUGUGUUUUAGUAUUUUUUUAAUUGUGUGUGUGUGUGUGUGUGUGUGUGUGUGUGUGUGUGUGUGUGUGUGUGUGUGUGUGUGUGUGUGUGUGUUAUUAUUCAUUACCACAGAAAAUCUGUAAUUUUAUAACUGAAAUCCGGCAUAUUUGCCAACAGCUUUCUUUAUCUAUGCGCAGCUUUAAUGUGGAAUAUCUUUUCCAUUAAAAUAACAUUUGUUCAAAAACACUUACCUACUGUAGUAAACUGCAACAAA
ensembl:lncRNA